CUGUGACUCUUAACAUCUUCGAGGUUUGCAAAUACGUUGUCUUUAUUUGCUCCUUUGUAAAAUCUUUUUAGAAAAAAAAAACAGUUCACAUCAGAAAUAUACCACCAAAACUAGUCAAAUAUAUAUAUAUGUAUACCAACCUGGAAGAUCAAUGGUGAGAAGAGUGGCUUCAGGUUGAUCUUUCCAUUCAGAUUUGGGGACAAAAUCCUCAUGCUGAACACCUAAGCCUGUUCCUCUCGGCUGCUGUCUUGCUGCCAUUAAUUAAAUUUUGCUUUUUCUUUCUGAACUGGUUGUUUUUGUCUGAGCUUUGAGAAUAUCCAAUAUGGUUUAUUGCUCUGAAUAUAUUUUAAAAAAACCUCAAUCUACGCAAUGCUUAGCCCUUUUCUCUUGCAUUAUGCAAUUGAUAUUCCUAGUUUUGAGGCAAAAAAUAUCUUCUUUCGUCUCAAGUCAUCCAUCAUAUGUUUAUCCUCUUACAAAGAAAGCAUAAUAUGUUUUGCUUUUUCUCUACAAAUUUUAUACCUUGUGUUCCCCCAAUGAACUCAGUUAAGGAGAUGUACCAUUAGUGUCCAGUUCCACAACGUUUCCAAUAUAAAGAUUGUGUAGUUAUAGAGAGCUUGAGUUUCAAUAGAAGAAACUUUCCAGUUUAAAACAUCCAAAAAUGUUCCAGGUUGCAAUAACACACACAUUACAUGACACAUUGAUUGAUUGGUGCCUAAGAAAAUUCAGCAGUGUUGGAGAAAUUGAAAUAAUGCCAUUAGGACGAGCAAAGCUUCUAAAAACCAGUAGUUUCAACACAAGAACAAAGUCAAACAUACACAAAAAAAAAAGACAAAUGAUGAGACACAAAACCAAACAAAAGACUUUUGGAGUAAAAAGACAAAGGAUCAUAGACUGAUUCUGACAUAAUCGACUCCUCCUCGGCUCCUCCUAGAUGUUUCUUCCUUGACUUGUUCUGUUUUUGCAACAUUACAACUGGAACGUAAAACAGGAUGAGGAGUUGAAGAAGCGGAGUGUGUAGGAAUAUCAACUUUCUUGACAUUCUUAUUAUUCCUAUCAGACUGUACUAAGAGAAGAUGGAUAUUAAUAUUCUCCCUUUUUCCUCAGAGCUUGAAGAACUGUUAUUUGAGACUAACGUCAAAAGCUAAAUGGUACAUCUCUGCUGCGCAAACGACGACUGGUCAGUGCCCACAGAAGAAUGUCUUCAACCAUCAUUUUUUAGCCCUCACAGCCUCUCAGGGUUGGAGGAAAUAGCAUUAGUGAUCAUCGUUUCCGAGUCGAACGGAGAGAUCUGUCUGGUGAGAGUUGAAAGAUGGUGGCUGAGUGAAGAAUAAGGAGAAGAAGAAAGUAGAGAGAAAGUGGUACUAUAGAAAAAUUGUUUUUUUUUGUUUUUAAACAGUGGAAAGUAUGUGAUUGCAAAUUACCGGGGUGAUUGGUAGAGGCCGUGACUUUCUGUUUUUUGUUCUAAGAUUUAGGUUCUAGAUUUUUAGCUUUAUCUUUAAUUUAUUUUGUUGUAGAAAUUUUUCAGAGCACUGUAUAAAAUCUCUAGAGAAAGUGUUUUCUAAAGCUA
rnacentral:lncRNA from 1 species